GGAUUAGAUACCCUGGUAGUCCACGCCGUAAACGAUGUCGACUUGGAGGUUGUGCCCUUGAGGCGUGGCUUCCGGAGCUAACGCGUUAAGUCGACCGCCUGGGGAGUACGGCCGCAAGGUUAAAACUCAAAUGAAUUGACGGGGGCCCGCACAAGCGGUGGAGCAUGUGGUUUAAUUCGAUGCAACGCGAAGAACCUUACCUGGUCUUGACAUCCACGGAAGUUUUCAGAGAUGAGAAUGUGCCUUCGGGAACCGUGAGACAGGUGCUGCAUGGCUGUCGUCAGCUCGUGUUGUGAAAUGUUGGGUUAAGUCCCGCAACGAGCGCAACCCUUAUCCUUUGUUGCCAGCGGUCCGGCCGGGAACUCAAAGGAGACUGCCAGUGAUAAACUGGAGGAAGGUGGGGAUGACGUCAAGUCAUCAUGGCCCUUACGACCAGGGCUACACACGUGCUACAAUGGCGCAUACAAAGAGAAGCGACCUCGCGAGAGCAAGCGGACCUCAUAAAGUGCGUCGUAGUCCGGAUUGGAGUCUGCAACUCGACUCCAUGAAGUCGGAAUCGCUAGUAAUCGUGAAUCAGAAUGUCACGGUGAAUACGUUCCCGGGCCUUGUACACACCGCCCGUCACACCAUGGGAGUGGGUUGCUCCAGAAGUAGCUAGUCUAACCGCAAGGGGGACGGUUACCACGGAGUGAUUCAUGACUGGGGUGAAGUCGUAACAAG
rnacentral:rRNA from 1 species